rnacentral:rRNA from 1 species
UACGGAGGGUGCAAACGUUGCUCGGAAUCAUUGGGCGUAAAGCGCACGUAGGCGGCCUGAUAAGUCGGGUGUGAAAGCCCUGGGCUCAACCCAGGAAGUGCACUCGAAACUGUCAGGCUUGAAUAUGGAAGAGGGUCGCGGAAUUCCCGGUGUAGAGGUGAAAUUCGUAGAUAUCGGGAGGAACAUCUGUGGCGAAGGCGGCCAUCUGGACCAGCACUGACACUGAGGUACGAAAGCGUGGGGAGCAAACAGG